UACGUAGGGGGCUAGCGUUGUCCGGAUUUAUUGGGCGUAAAGAGCGUGUAGGCGGCCAGGUAGGUCUGCUGUGAAAACUCGAGGCUCAACCUCGAGACGUCGGCGGAAACCACUUGGCUAGAGUCCGGAAGAGGAGAGUGGAAUUCCUGGUGUAGCGGUGAAAUGCGCAGAUAUCAGGAAGAACACCUAUGGCGAAGGCAGCUCUCUGGGACGGUACUGACGCUGAGACGCGAAAGCGUGGGGAGCGAACAGG
rnacentral:rRNA from 1 species